CCUCCUCCUCCUCCUCCUCCUUCUCUACCUCCUCCUUCUUUGCCCUCCUCUUUUGCCCUACUCGGUCGGUAUGGCUCCUUCGCCCCUUAUUUCUCUCCGACUCGUGUAUUAUUAUUCGGUGUGUGCACCUACUGGCUAGCUAAGCACCGUCGGACUCCGCGGGUAUCCAGCAUCGGUACUCUUCGGGCCAUCCGGCCUGGAUCAGAAGCCAGUCUGACACGAAGAUUACUGGAAUUAAGCCUUUAAUUCCCAAGCAACGCGACUCUCGCUCCAACAACCAAUCGCCUGGGAUUUUUUCCUCUCGUGCCCCAGCACCGUCCGACCAGAUACAUUCUCAAAGUGUCCGAUGCCAAUUUCGAUGAUACAUGGUGCGUGCAAUCGUUGUAGAUAAUCGUACAGCGGACAAAAUUGUAAAGCUGACAAGAGAAAUGUGUGUUGGAGGGCUGAUACCCCUGCGGCUUCCGCCGCCUCCGACCUCCGCGUCCAGCUUGCCGGUUCGACUGACCUCGUGGAUCCAAAAAAUGACGACAGAAAGCGUCGAUGCGGUUUCGUUGAUCUUCGUGUAAUUACGUUUGUUCUUCAGAACGGUCUGUCUAUGCGCCACUGUCCACACCGAGCAAUAAAAAACACUAUGUCACAAACUUGAA